rnacentral:rRNA from 1 species
GUGUUAUACAGCGAAACUGCGAAUGGCUCAUUAAAACAGUUAUAGUUUAUUUGAUAAUCGAAUUUACAUGGAUAACCGUGGUAAUUCUAGAGCUAAUACAUGCUGGUAGGCCCGACUUUUGCGGAAGGGCGGUAUUUAUUAGAUAACAAGCCAAUAUUCCUCUGGUCUAUUGUGGUGACUCAUAAUAACUGAUCGAAUCGCAAGGCCUUUGGCCGCGAUAAGUCAUUCAAGUUUCUGCCCCAUCAGCUUUCGAUGGUAGUGUAUUGGACUACCAUGGCGUUUACGGGUAACGGAGGAUUAGGGUUCGAUUCCGGAGAGGGAGCCUGAGAAACGGCUACCACAUCUAAGGAAGGCAGCAGGCGCGUAAAUUACCCAAUCCUGACUCAGGGAGGUAGUGACAAGAAAUAACGGACCGAGGCCUUCGGGCUUCGGGAUUGGAAUGAGCCGAAUUUACACCCCUUAGCGAAGAUCGAUUGGAGGGCAAGUCUGGUGCCAGCAGCCGCGGUAAUUCCAGCUCCAAUAGCGUAUAUUAAAGUUGUUGCAGUUAAAAAGCUCGUAGUUGGAUUUCUGGGAGGGUGCCGAUGUCCACUUAACGUGUGCGCAGCGGCGCCCUCUCAUCCUUCUGUUAGCGUCUCUUGGCAUUCAUUUGCUGGUGGCGGGCUCAGAUAUUUUACCUUGAGAAAAUUAGAGUGUUUCAGGCAGGCUAGGCCGGAAUACAUUAGCAUGGAAUAAUGGAAUAGGACUACGGUCUCUUUGUUGGUUUGAGGGACUGCAGUAAUGAUUAAUAGGGAUAGUUGGGGGCAUUAGUACUUAACUGUCA